rnacentral:tRNA from 1 species
GUAGCUCAGUCCGGCUAGAGCACUGGUCUCCAAAACCAGCGGUCGGGGGUUCGAAUCCCUCC